AGGUGAGAACAUACGAAAGGAACAACUAGUCUGUGGGAUCUUGCCCUGCCCUGUGGCUUUUCUCUCUUUGAGUGUCACAGGCCCCUGGAGGAAACCACAGAGAUGAAACAGAGGCUAGAACAAGAAAUGCCUGCUUUUAUACCCUGGUUCUGCUGCUUUCUGGCUGUGUGACACAGGAACUGUGUGACCCCCAAGAACCUCAAGAACGAAGUGGCCACUGGAAGCUCACAUGCGUGUCGGUGUGGCCAGGCUCUGGGCUUCUCACAGCACAUACAAGAAAGCCAAUCACAGGCUCCCGAAAAUGUGCCAAUGGGUUCAGAGUGCAGCCCCAGGUCUUCCGGGUAGCAGGGAAGUGGAGAAUCUGUCCAGAUUGCUGGUGCCUAUAGCCCAAGGUCACAGAGACCUCACCGUUAUCCGCCCCAGAGGCUAAGGACCCACUGGCAUUUCUUCUCCACCUGCCCAGACACCUAGCAUCCCCGGGAACUGGCUGUGCGUCAGGACUGUUUGAGCCCCAGUUUUUGGAAUGGAAGACUGCAGUCUUGGGAAAGUAAGACCUGGGAAGGAGAAGACUCAGAAGCCCCACGUAGUCAUUGAGAUCACUGAAGAAAGAAGACCAUGCUCUUUUUCUUCUGGUUCUGUCCUGUCUCUCUCAGGGAUCUGAAAUUUUGCCUAUGUUUGGGAUUCAAAGGAACAUCUUAACUUCCUUACGUGGUUUUG